UACGGGGGGAGCAAGCGUUGUUCGGAUUUACUGGGCGUAAAGGGCGCGUAGGCGGCCACCGCAAGUCGAUUGUGAAAUCUCCGGGCUUAACCCGGAAAGGUCAACCGAUACUGCGGGGCUAGAGUGCAGAAGGGGCAACUGGAAUUCUCGGUGUAGCGGUGAAAUGCGUAGAUAUCGAGAGGAACACCUGCGGCGAAGGCGGGUUGCUGGGCUGACACUGACGCUGAGUGCGCGAAAGCCAGGGGAGCAAACGGG
rnacentral:rRNA from 1 species